rnacentral:misc_RNA from 1 species
AUUAGCUUUUUAAUUAAUUCAAUGAAUAUAUAAAUUAUUAAAACAUGCAAGGAAUCCACUUGAACAAGUGCAUACAAUUUUGCAAAGAAGAGUGCAUAGACAGACGAGGGGAAACAGAAAUCAGAAUUCCAAGCAUAAUCUAACAUUAUGUUGCAUAUAGAAAUGAAACAAAGUGCUAAAAAAGGACCCAAAGAUUGUCGACGAAAUAACUAAUGACACUGAAAAGAAGGGCACCUUUGUGAAAACUCGAAGCAAUAA